GCCUAUAGCUCAGUUGGUUAGAGCAGCGGACUCAUAAUCCGUUGGUCCACAGUUCAAGUCUGUGUG
rnacentral:tRNA from 5 species